AGCCCUGUGUGCCAUGGUCUUCAACGCUGGAUGGAGGAAAGAGGUUUGAAGGGCGUAGCUGCAGCAUCCCGAGGAUGUGACACAGGAGAUGGAAGUUGUCAGGAGAGCCACACACCUCCAGCAUCCUCCAGAGCGUGCAUAUGGAGCUGACACUCAAUAAAUAAUACAGGAUUCAGGAUUGAGAUGCAGGGAAGCGCUGUGCUCAGAUGGAGUGCUGUAGGCUCAGAUUGCUGCCCAAUGUCCUGCAGUGGGAAGGGGAAAGCAUCAGUGGGGCAGAAGAGCCCAGACCGGUGUUAGUCCUUGGCAGAAGAGCUUUUCCUUGCUUGGAGCAAGCAGCAGCACUGGGCUUGGGGUUACAUUCAGUGCUCUGUGCUCCCCACUGCCAGGCUGCGAUCUGCUGAUGCUCUAUGCGGUAAUUAAUGCACCGCUAAUUGGAUUUCCAGGGCCUGGAGCUGAGGGGCAGCGGCUGCAGCAGGGGAAGGGACUGAGAGCUUUGCCCACAUCCCCCAGCAUAGCUCUGCACCCGAUGCAACACUGCUGAUAGUGAUGGGCACCACUUCUCCCCUUCUCCAACAAUCCAUUGCCCGUCUGCAUUAAUGCCUUCCCUCCUUUUUGGUCACCUAAUUCAACAGAGGGGAUUAAAGCAUAACUCCCAUAGCACAGAGGCUGCAGCAAGCUGUGGUUCCCCCAUGUUCCUGCUGGAGCACAGCACCUUUCCAGCCCCUCUCCAAAUUAUUCCCAGCAACAGACUAUGGCUUCUUGUCCACCUUGCAAACUGAGGGGGGAGGGCUGGGAAGACCUUUUAUUUUAUUAUCAUGGAUUAAUCAUCGUAAGGGGAGCACGAAGGAUAGGUCAUAAUAAUGGGGGUUUGAAUUACACUUCUAAACUUGGGGCCCCUAAGCCUAAUGAAAUGAGAGUGCACAGCUCAGAGCCAGGUUAAGAGGCUGUGGUGGCUGCUGCCCCUAUGGGAGCACCCGGUGCUGCCUUCCUGAGAGCUCCCAGGGGUCGGAUGGGUUGCAGAGGAGGAGUGUGAGGCACAGCUCAGAGCAGGUCCUGCUCCUGCCUCGGUGUGGGGCUGUCACAGUGUUUGGCUCAUAGCAGCAGGGCCUGAUGCAGAGGGGCCCCACUGGAGGCAGAAAGUCCCUUUGGGG
rnacentral:lncRNA from 7 species